UAUGGUAAUGAGCUAUGACGCGGUUCAGCGGCAACCAAUCGGAAUGUAGAGGUCCUCGCUUGAGAGGAUUCCGAUUGGUUGCCACAACUUGUCAUUUACUUUGACCCUCCCGCCGGCGGCGGUUUGAACGCACAGUACAGCGUUGUUGGCAGGGCAGCCAAGGCGAAUUUUGACGCUCUCGCCGGCGGUGGUGUGAACUCACAGUAGUAGCAGUACAUUCAGGUCGCGCCGGCGCCGCUGUCAGCGUGAGCAGACGAGAGAGCGCGAGUCAGACGAAGCAGCUUUGCGGAGCAUCAAAGCAACUUAAUUGUUUGAUUAAGACAUUAAAUUCAUGACAUGUUUGAUGACCGUCAUUGUGGCAUCAUUGAACAUCAGUGUGACAAUAUCCAAGUGAUAGAUUGUGAAUGUGGCAGACACACCCCUCCACACACAAAAAGCUGAUGAUCUGACGGUAGCUGCAUGGAUCUUGGACUGCCUGGUGGACAUCUCGGCAUGGAUACAAGAACAUCACCUGCAACUCAAUCUGGCAAAGACAAAACGUUUCGUCUUCCCAGCCACUCUGAUGAUUCAGCAUAAUUUCACCAUCCAGCUAGGCUCAUCAACUGUAAUUCCAUCCUGAUCCGCCAAAAAUCUUGUAAUUUUUGAUGACCAGCUGUCGUUCAGAGACCACAUUACAAAGACAGCUUGGUCAUUUAAGUUUACUCUGCACUAUACCAGGAAGAUCAGGCCCUUCUUAACAGAGCAUCUGACACAACUUAUCCAGGCCCUUGUCAUUUCUGGACUAGACUAUUGCAACGCUCUUCGAACAUGCAAUCUCUCUAACCCUAACUGGACAGCUGAAUCCCUGACAAUGUUAAAGAAACAACUGAAAACUCAUGUCUUCCAUGAACAAUUAAUGGCAUCCCGCUGACUCUUAAAGAAAGCAAACAAACAAACAAAAAAACGAUGCUUUCACUAUUAAAUCCCUCUCCGAUCUAGUUUGUACUAUUCUGAACAAUGUUUGAAUCUUUGUAUUUUUUCGCACUUCUUGUUUAUUGCCUCCUUAAGAUGAAUUGUUUGUAUUCCUUAUUUCUAAGUUGCUAUGUAUAAAAACGUUGGCUAAUUGGUUUAUUUUUCAUAUUAACCACUUUGACAGCUAGUGCAUAUUUUGCAUUGUUUUUAAUAUUGUGCUUGUUUUACAGUUAAUAACUGUUUUAUACCUGUUUUUAUGACUUUUAAAUAAAUACAUCUCAACCAA